CGCGGCGCCUAUAAAGGGCCGCCCGCCGAACCCGCCGCCCCUCCGCCCGCCGCGGCCGCACCGCGAAAAAAUCAACGGGCCGCCGCUCUGCAGAAUCCGGGCUUAAAUCGAAGC